UACGUAGGGGGCGAGCGUUGUCCGGAUUUAUUGGGCGUAAAGAGCGUGUAGGCGGCUUCACAGGUCUGCUGUGAAAACUCGAGGCUCAACCUCGAGCUGUCGGUGGAAACCGUGUGGCUAGAGUCCGGAAGAGGAGAGCGGAAUUCCCGGUGUAGCGGUGAAAUGCGCAGAUAUCGGGAAGAACACCCGUGGCGAAGGCGGCUCUCUGGGAUGAUGCUGACGCUGAGGCGCGAAAGCCAGGGGAGCAAACGGG
rnacentral:rRNA from 1 species